AUUGAACGCUGGCGGAAUGCUUUACACAUGCAAGUCGAACGGCAGCACGGGAGCUUGCUCCUGGGUGGCGAGUGGCGAACGGGUGAGUAAUACAUCGGAACGUACCCAGUUAUGGGGGAUAACUAACCGAAAGGUUAGCUAAUACCGCAUACGCCCUGAGGGGAAAGCGGGGGACCGUAAGGCCUCGCGUAAUUGGAGCG
rnacentral:rRNA from 1 species